GGCCGCCGCCAACCGGGUCUGACUGGGCCGUCCGGCGCGCUUCCUGGUGUCACCCCCAGAGGGCGCCGGCCACUGAGCCGCCCGCAGAGUCCCGAGGCCGGAAGGAGCGCGGCGCCGCCCCACUCGCCCCAGCCGCCGCCAUGAAAGCCGUGGUGCAGCGCGUCACCCGGGCCAGCGUCACAGUUGGAGGAGAGCAAAUAAGUGCAAUUGGACGGGGAAUCUGUGUGUUGCUGGGUAUUUCUCUGGAAGAUACACAGAAGGAACUGGAGCACAUGGUCAGAAAGAUUUUAAACCUGCGUGUGUUUGAGGAUGAGAGUGGGAAACACUGGUCGAAGAGUGUGAUGGACAAACAGUAUGAGGUGCUGUGCAUCAGCCAGUUCACCCUCCAGUGCGUGCUCAAGGGGAACAAGCCUGACUUUCACCUGGCAAUGCCCACAGAGCAGGCAGAAAGCUUCUACAACAGCUUCCUGGAGCAGCUGCGCAAGACCUACAGGCCGGAGCUCAUCAAAGAUGGCAAGUUUGGUGCCUACAUGCAAGUCCACAUUCAGAAUGAUGGGCCUGUGACUGUAGAAUUGGAGUCCCCAGCACCUGGCGCUGCUGCCUCUGACCCAAAGCAGCUGUCAAAGCUUGAAAAACAGCAGCAGAGGAAAGAAAAGACCAGAGCCAAGGGGCCUUCCGAAUCAAGCAAAGAAAGAAACGCCCCCCGAAAAGAAGACCGCAGUGCCAGCAGCGGGGCAGAGGGCGACGUGUCUUCUGAGCGGGAGCCGUAGACUUAAGGAUGGAACUCAGAAUGUUGUGUGCAAGGCCUGUGCGGAGGUGGAGAACCUGUCCUUACAGAGGCGUAAGUGCAUUAUCAUCGGGUGGAACUGGAUCCUGAAAAAUUCAUGGAAGAUGCUAAGUACCUACACUGCUUUAAGAAUUUGGAACUGAAUCAUGAAAAGGAAGACAGAAAGACGAAAUAGGGAACCUGAGUAGCCCUGCAAAAACAAAGCAGAAUGAAACCAAACACCACCACCAAAGGAACGUUACCAUUCUCUGUUGUUGCUGUGGUCUGACGGAAAGGUGGGUGCCGGCAGUGCAGGGGAGCACACCCCGUGCGUAUUGCAACAGGACAGACACCCAUGCUCCCCCCACAGAAAGACUUUGCUGGUUCCUGUGAGUUCUUGGCUUGCUUUUGGAACAGGCUGGUCCAGCGUUAUUUGUCACCGAGUCCUCCUUUCACACUGUGGUGUAUUUCUGCGUGUCCAUGAUGGGUCGCAACUGCAAUUCAUGCUGUCCAUGCUCUUCCCAACACCGCCUUAGCCAGGGCCCAUGUUAAGGUGUACAGAGAACAGACUUUAGUGAUAAUGUAUUGUGUAAGACCUUUGCAUCUUGUAAAUUUUCUCAUUUUUCUAAAAAGAAAUAAUAAAAUUCCAAACCUCAACAAACCACUUUAUUAUUAAACAAA